GGUGGCUCAGUGGUAGAGCAUUUGCCUUGCAUGCAUAAGGCCCUGGGUUUGAUUCCUCAGCACCA
rnacentral:tRNA from 1 species